GAUGAACGCUGGCGGCGUGCUUAACACAUGCAAGUCGAACGGAAAGGCCCAAGCUUGCUUGGGUACUCGAGUGGCGAACGGGUGAGUAACACGUGGGUGAUCUGCCCUGCACUUCGGGAUAAGCCUGGGAAACUGGGUCUAAUACCGGAUAGGACGAUGGUUUGGAUGCCAUUGUGGAAAGUUUUUUCGGUGUGGGAUGAGCUCGCGGCCUAUCAGCUUGUUGGUGGGGUAAUGGCCUACCAAGGCGUCGACGGGUAGCCGGCCUGAGAGGGUGUACGGCCACAUUGGGACUGAGAUACGGCCCAGACUCCUACGGGAGGCAGCAGUGGGGAAUAUUGCACAAUGGGCGCAAGCCUGAUGCAGCGACGCCGCGUGGGGGAGGACGGCCUUCGGGUUGUAAACUCCUUUCGCUAGGGACGAAGCGUUUUGUGACGGUACUUGGAGAAGAAGCACCGGCUAACUACGUG
rnacentral:rRNA from 1 species